rnacentral:rRNA from 1 species
UACGGAGGGAGCUAGCGUUGUUCGGAAUUACUGGGCGUAAAGCGCGCGUAGGCGGCUUUGUAAGUUAGAGGUGAAAGCCCGGGGCUCAACCCCGGAACAGCCUUUAAGACUGCAUCGCUAGAAUCCGGGAGAGGUGAGUGGAAUUCCCGGUGUAGCAGUGAAAUGCGUAGAGAUCGGGAGGAACAUCAGUUGCGAAGGCGGCUCUCUGGACCAGCACUGACACUGAGGCACGAAAGCGUGGGGAGCAAACAGG